UGGGGAAUUUUGCGCAAUGGGGGAAACCCUGACGCAGCAACGCCGCGUGGAGGAUGAAGUCCUUCGGGACGUAAACUCCUUUCGAUCGGGACGAUUAUGACGGUACCGGAAGAAGAAGCCCCGGCUAACUUCGUGCCAGCAGCCGCGGUAAUACGAGGGGGGCGAGCGUUGUUCGGAAUUAUUGGGCGUAAAGGGUGCGUAGGCGGUUUGGUAAGUCUGAUGUGAAAUCUAUGGGCUCAACUCAUAGUCUGCAUCGGAAACUGCCGGGCUUGAGUGUGGGAGAGGUGAGUGGAAUUCCCUGGUGUAGCGGUGAAAUGCGUAGAUACCAGGAGGAACACCUGUGGCGAAAGCGGCUCACUGGACCAUAACUGACGCUGAUGCACGAAAGCUAGGGGAGCAAACAGGAUUAGAUACCC
rnacentral:rRNA from 1 species